AGGAUAUCAUCUUAUACUGUAA
rnacentral:miRNA from 1 species